GACGAACGCUGGCGGCGUGCUUAACACAUGCAAGUCGAACGGAAAGGCCCUGCUUUUGUGGGGUGCUCGAGUGGCGAACGGGUGAGUAACACGUGAGUAACCUGCCCUUGACUUUGGGAUAACUUCAGGAAACUGGGGCUAAUACCGGAUAGGAGCUCCUGCUGCAUGGUGGGGGUUGGAAAGUUUCGGCGGUUGGGGAUGGACUCGCGGCUUAUCAGCUUGUUGGUGGGGUAGUGGCUUACCAAGGCUUUGACGGGUAGCCGGCCUGAGAGGGUGACCGGCCACAUGGGAACUGGGAUACGGCCAGGACGCCUACGGGGGGAAGAGGUGGGGAAAAUGGCACAAUGGGCGGAGGCCUGCUGCAGCAACGCCGCGUGGGGGAGAACGGCUUUCGGGUUGAAACCGCUUUCGCCUGUGACGAAGCGUGAGUGACGGUAAUGGGUAAAGAAGCACCGGCUAACUACGUG
rnacentral:rRNA from 1 species